GAGUUUGAUUAUGGCUCAGGAUGAACGCUAGCGGGAGGCCUAACACAUGCAAGCCGAGCGGGAUUUGUUGGUUAGCUUGCUAACUAACAAUGAGAGCGGCGUACGGGUGCGUAACACGUGUGCAACCUGCCUUUAUCUGGGGGAUAGCCUUUCGAAAGGAAGAUUAAUACCCCAUAAUAUAUUGAUUGGCAUCAAUUAAUAUUGAAAGCUCCGGCGGAUAGAGAUGGGCACGCGUAAGAUUAGCUAGUUGGUGAGGUAACGGCUCACCAAGGCUGCGAUCUUUAGGGGGCCUGAGAGGGUGAUCCCCCACACUGGUACUGAGACACGGACCAGACUCCUACGGGAGGCAGCAGUGAGGAAUAUUGGACAAUGGGUGAGAGCCUGAUCCAGCCAUCCCGCGUGAAGGACUAAGGACCUAUGGUUUGUAAACUUCUUUUAUACAGGGAUAAACCUACUCUCGUGAGGG
rnacentral:rRNA from 1 species